AUGUGGCACAACACCGGCAAUACCUUGCCGGUGAUGGUCAACAGCCGGCAGACGGGCAACAAAAAGGUUCUGGUUCUGCACACCAACAAGAACUUCGACCAGCAGAGGACCAACUGGGUGAUGCACCAGUACCACCUUGGGGACCUGGAGCAAGAGAAGGAGCGGGAGCUGGUCCUCUGCAAGAUUUUCUACCAGACGAACACUAGGGCCAGGAGUAAAAAGAUUAUAAGUCAAGCAAGUUUCAACUGGGCUGUAGACUGCCCAGGCUUGGUUUUGUUUUUAAUAGGCCCAACCCAUGAAGACAACGGGGCACAAAUAUCCAGCAGUACAUAA
rnacentral:rRNA from 1 species